rnacentral:rRNA from 1 species
GACAGAGGGGGCGAGCGUUGUCCGGAGUCACUGGGCGUAAAGCGCGCGCAGGCGGCAACCUAAGUGUCGUGUGAAAGCCCCCGGCUCAACCGGGGGAGGCCAUGGCAAACUGGGUCGCUCGAGCUGCGGAGAGGCCCCUCGAAUUGCCGGUGUAGCGGUGAAAUGCGUAGAGAUCGGCAGGAAGACCAAGGGGGAAGCCAGGGGGCUAGCCGCAGGCUGACGCUGAGGCGCGAAAGCGUGGGGAGCAAACCGG